CUGGACUUGGUCUCUAUUGACGAUGGCAAAGCAGACUCUGUGUUGUGACAGCCAUCAAGGAUGUAAUCUUGAGGAAGGGCCUCCCAACAGAGAAACUCUAUGGACUUGGGACUGAGCAGCCGUGAUGACAGAAACAGUGCAAAUCGUACUGCAACACUCGGGGCAGCAUCGGCUACCCUGGGUGUCAGGGAUCUGAAAAUAAAGGUAAUAGUUAUUUGAUACCAUUGUAGUUAUCUUCUGUCUAUUCAUAACUAAUCAUUCUGUCUUUUAUUGCAACAUUUUCAGGAAGUGAAGGAUACAAGCUGGCUCUUUUAGCACAGGGUCAUCGAGACCCUACUGAGGAACUUGAGUGCAUUCCUUGGAGCCUUGGCAGAGGGGGCAGAGAUGAGAAGAUGUCCAGUGGCAAAGGGACCCUACACAUUCUGUGCUACAUACAGAUUUGUGGCAGCAGUUUACCUCCAGGCUGAUGUUUUGCCCCACCUCGCAUGUCUGUCCAAAAUCUUUCAAAAAGCAAAUGUCAACUUUUUACAAAUCAAGGAGCAGGUUCCUGUCACAAUUCAGUCUCUGGCUGGACAGACUCCACUCCCUGGAUCAUGCCUGUCUCGCCUCCAUCAGGACCUCGAUGAUCCCCAAGGACUCGGAGCCAGCACGAGGAGGAGAGGAAUAGGAGAGGGCGAGAUGUCAUGAAGCGCCGAGGGAGGAGCAGUGAGCCAGAUUCCAGCGAGAGGUUAUCCACCCUUAAAUAACUAGCCUGGAAACACACCUGGAGAGGAGGUUUCAUGAUCUGGACAUUCUUGGGGCCUUCAGUAUCUUGGGACCCGCACCUCAAUCAACCACUCUACAAGAUGAUACAAUCAACAUCUCUCAUCUGCGGACUCUUGCCAGGAAAUGUUGCCCUGAACAUGAGAAUGAGGUCCUGCAGGAGUGGUCCUCGUUCAAAAAUCAUGUCCUUGCUGGGGCAUUCACGGUGGGUCAAUUAAGCUGAUUCUGACUACAAUCAACUACAGUUCACAAUACACACACAUACACUAAUGCCUUGGUAAACCAAAAGUUGUUUCAAGAACAAUAACCAGGAGAUCAUGAGUCUGCUGGCAAGCGAGUUUGAUGAGUGGACCAACCUCUACCCCUGUCUGAGCCUCCUUGCAGGCAUUGCACUUGUUUUACCCGUUUCCUGUGUCAAUUACAACGUGAUUUCUCAACGGUGAACAGGGUGAAAACAGACCUGAAACCAGCUUCAAGGAGAACACCUGGCUGCCUGCCUGAGGAUCCCCAUAAACGGACCCCAUCCUGAGGCCUUCUCAUGUAAUAGGGCAUUGGAAUAUUUUUUCAGAAAGCCCCAUAAGAUAAAAUGUUCAAACACAUCUUGCAAACUUUGCAACAAGUAGGCUGUGGAGCAGUCAAAUGAGCACUCUGUAUAUCAUUUGAAAGUAAGGCACAACUGGCUUUCUGUCAGGCUGUCACAGUCUGUAGUAACAUGCCAAAGGGGAAACAUGUUAUGCUAUUAUUUGGAUUUAUUAUUUAUAUUUAUUUAUGUUAUAUUUGAAUAAACAAAUCUAAUACCCCGA